rnacentral:rRNA from 1 species
UACGAGGGGGGCGAGCGUUGUUCGGAAUUAUUGGGCGUAAAGGGUGCGUAGGCGGUUUGGUAAGUCUCUUGUGAAAUCUAUGGGCUCAACUCAUAGUCUGCAAGGGAAACUGCCGGGCUUGAGUGUGGGAGAGGUGAGUGGAAUUUCCGGUGUAGCGGUGAAAUGCGUAGAUAUCAGGAGGAACACCGAUGGCGAAGGCAGGUCUCUGGGCUGACACUGACGCUCAUGCACGAAAGCGUGGGGAGCAAACAGG